AAUUCUUCCGAUGGUUCACCAUACCAAACCAACCAAUAUAAUUCAAUUAUUCCGACGGUACACCAAACUCAACCAACCAACCAACACUCAAUUAUUCCAAUGGUACACCAUACCAAAACCAACCAACAUUAUUCAAUAGAUAUUGGACGGUACAUCAGACAAAACCAACCAACAUCAUUCAAUUCCUCCGAAACAAAAAUAUUGGACGGUACAUCAGACAAAACCAACCAACAUCAUUCAAUUCCUCCUAAACAUAAAUAUUGGACGGUACACCAGACAAAACCAACCAACAUCAGUCAAUUCCUCCGAAACAUAAAUAUUGGACGGUACAUCAGACAAAAUCAAUCAACAUCAUUCAAUUCUUCCGAAACAAAAAUAUUGGACGGUACAUCAGACAAAACCAAUCAACAUCAUUCAAUUCCUCCGAAACAUAAAUAUU
rnacentral:lncRNA from 1 species